rnacentral:rRNA from 1 species
GACGAACGCUGGCGGCGUGCUUAACACAUGCAAGUCGAACGGAAAGGCCCUGCUUUUGUGGGGUGCUCGAGUGGCGAACGGGUGAGUAACACGUGAGUAAUCUGCCCUUGACUUUGGGAUAACUUCAGGAAACUGGGGCUAAUACCGGAUAGGAGCUCCUGCUGCAUGGUGGGGGUUGGAAAGUUUCGGCGGUUGGGGAUGGACUCGCGGCUUAUCAGCUUGUUGGUGGGGUAGUGGCUUACCAAGGCUUUGACGGGUAGCCGGCCUGAGAGGGUGACCGGCCACAUUGGGACUGAGAUACGGCCCAGACUCCUACGGGAGGCAGCAGUGGGGAAUAUUGCACAAUGGGCGGAAGCCUGAUGCAGCAACGCCGCGUGCGGGAUGACGGCCUUCGGGUUGUAAACCGCUUUCGCCUGUGACGAAGCGUGAGUGACGGUAAUGGGUAAAGAAGCACCGGCUAACUACGAG